rnacentral:tRNA from 1 species
GUCGAAGUGGUGGAAUUGGUAGACACGCUAUCUUGAGGGGGUAGUGGGUUAUCCCGUGGGGGUUCGAGUCCCCCCUUCGACACCA